CCUACGGGUGGCAGCAGUGAGGAAUAUUGGUCAAUGGGCGCUAGCCUGAACCAGCCAAGUAGCGUGAAGGAUGACUGUCCUAUGGGUUGUAAACCUCUUUUAUAUGGGAACAAAAUGCAGUAUGCAUACUGUUUCGCAUGUACCUGAUGAAUAAGGAUCGGCUAACUCCGUGUCAGCAGCCGCGGUAAUACGGAGGAUUCGAGCGUUAUCCGGAUUUAUUGGGUUUAAAGGGUGCGUAGGCGGGAUGUUCAGUCAGUUGGGAAAUUUUGGGGAUCAACCCUAUCAGUGCGGUUGAUACUGGCUGCCUUGAGUGCAGGAGAGGUAGGCGGAAUGCGUGGUGUAGCGGUGAAAUGCAUAGAUAUCACGAAGAACUCCGAUUGCGAAGGCAGCAUGCUGGCGUUUAACUGACGCUCAUGCACGAAAGUGUGGGUAUCGAACAGGAUUAGAUACCCUUGUAGUC
rnacentral:rRNA from 1 species